UACGUAGGGGGCAAGCGUUGUCCGGAUUUAUUGGGCGUAAAGAGCGUGUAGGCGGUUUGGUAGGUCCGCUGUGAAAACUCGAGCUCAACCUCGAGACGCCGGUGGAAACCAUCAGACUAGAGUCCGGAAGAGGAGAGUGGAAUUCCUGGAUGUAGCGGUGAAAUGCGUAGAGAUCGGAAAGAACACCAACGGCGAAAGCACUCUGCUGGGCCGACACUGACACUGAGAGACGAAAGCUAGGGAGCGAAUGGG
rnacentral:rRNA from 1 species